rnacentral:rRNA from 1 species
CCUACGGGCGGCAGCAGUGAGGAAUAUUGGUCAAUGGCCGGAAGGCUGAACCAGCCAAGCCGCGUGAAGGACGAAGGUGCCAAGCAUUGUAAACUUCUUUUGUCAAGGGACAAAAUCAGGCUCGAGAGCCUGACCGAGGGUACUUGAAGAAAAAGCAUCGGCUUACUCCGUCCCAGCCGCCGCUGUAAUACGGGGGAUGCGAGCGUUAUCCGGUUUUAUUGGGUUUAAAGGGUGCGUAGGCGGACUGUUAAGUCAGCGGUAAAAGCCCGGGGCUCAACCCCGGCGAGCCGUUGAAACUGGCUGUCUUGAGAUGUCGAGAGGUAUGCGGAAUGCGCAGUGUAGCGGUGAAAUGCUUAGAUAUUGCGCAGAACUCCGAUUGCGAAGGCAGCAUACCGGCGGCGAUCUGACGCUGAGGCACGAAAGCGUGGGUAUCGAACAGGAUUAGAUACCCCUGUAGUC